GACGAACGCUGGCGGCGUGCCUAAUACAUGCCAGUCGAACGCUGAAGGAGGAGCUUGCUUCUCUGGAUGAGUUGCGAACGGGUGAGUAACGCGUAGGUAACCUGCCUGGUAGCGGGGGAUAACUAUUGGAAACGAUAGCUAAUACCGCAUAAUAGUAGAUGUCGCAUGACAUUUGCUUAAAAGGUGCAAUUGCAUCACUACCAGAUGGACCUGCGUUGUAUUAGCUAGUUGGUGAGGUAACGGCUCACCAAGGCAACGAUACAUAGCCGACCUGAGAGGGUGAUCGGCCACACUGGGACUGAGACACGGCCCAGACUCCUACGGGAGGCAGCAGUAGGGAAUCUUCGGCAAUGGACGGAAGUCUGACCGAGCAACGCCGCGUGAGUGAAGAAGGGUUUCGGAUCGUAAAGCUCUGUUGUAAGAGAAGAACGAGUGUGAGAGUGGAAAGUUCACACUGUGACGGUAGCUUACCAGAAAGGGACGGCUAACUACGUG
rnacentral:rRNA from 1 species